rnacentral:lncRNA from 1 species
AAAAUAGAAUAACUAUUUUCAUGUUUCCAAGUUUCCAUAUUUUUGAUAUCUGUUACUAUUACAAAAAGAAGGUGCAGAUUUCUAUACAUUUUUUUAUUAUCUUGACAAAUGGUUGUGUGGAGAAUCUAUUCCCAAAUAAAAGAAUUAAAGGGGAGUGAGGGAGUCCCCUCCUGUAUUUGCCCUAGAAAUCAGUAAUUUAUCUGACACAAAUCUAUCCUACCCACACAGGAAAAUUAAACUAACAAAAGUAUUAAAUGAAAUAACAACUAAGGGUAGUUCUAGAAUUCAUUUUAAAAGUGAGGUAGAGGGGUAAAAUGGCUACAAAU